rnacentral:rRNA from 1 species
AGCAGCCGCGGUAAUUCCAGCUCCAAUAGCGUAUAUUAAAGUUGUUGCAGUUAAAAAGCUCGUAGUUGAAUUUCGGGAUUUAUCCGUCGGUCGGGCUUUUGGGUCUGUACUGGCGUGAUGAAUUCCUACCUUCUGAAUAACCGGCAUGUCAUUAAUUUGGUGCGCUGGGGAAGCAGGACUGUUACCUUGAAAAAAUUGAGUGCUUAAAGCAGGCUAUUGCCUGAAUACAUUAGCAUGGAAUAAUGAAAUAGGACGGCAUGGUUCUAUUUUGUGGUUUCUAGGAUCACCGUAAUGAUUAAUAGGGAUAGUUGGGGGCAUUAGUAUUCAAUUGUCAGAGGUGAAAUUCUUGGAUUUAUUGAAGUACUAACUUCUGCGAAAGCAUUUGCCAAGGAUGUUUCAUUAAUCAAGACGAAAGUUAGGGAUCGAAGCGAUCAGAUACCGUGUAGUCUUAACCAUAAACUGUGCCGACUAGGGAUCGGACGNUCGUUAAUUUUUANGUACCCGUUCGGCGCUUAAC